UACGUAGGGUGCGAGCGUUUAAUCGGAAUUACUGGGCGUAAAGUGUGCGCAGGCGGCGCCGCAAGUCGAGUGUGAAAUCCCCGAGCUUAACUUGGGAAUUGCGCUCGAAACUACGACGCUGGAGUAUGGCAGAGGAAGGUGGAAUUCCACGUGUAGCGGUGAAAUGCGUAGAGAUGUGGAGGAACACCGAUGGCGAAGGCAGCCUUCUGGGCCAAUACUGACGCUCAUGCACGAAAGCGUGGGGAGCAAACAGG
rnacentral:rRNA from 1 species